UAGCUGGUGAACAUAGUGGAGCAUUUAGCAGCUAAAGAGCCUGCGUCAUGACAAACAUGCAAAGAUCAUGGGCUGUUUGUUCAGACAAGUCUAUAAUAACAAAUAAAAGUCAAGGCAUCACCAAAAUCACAAGGAUUCAUUCUCUGCGAAGCCUCAUACCAAAUUUCGUGUCAAUCGGACAAGUAGUUGAUGAGAUAAUUUGGACCAAAAUGUUUGAUUGAUUGCGUGACUAACAUUUCCGUCCUUAGCAUGGAUUUAUUAAGGAGAUUUGGAUACUGUGUUUGUCCCUAUAAAAGUUCCUUAGUGGUGCAUGAAGCCAAAAAAAGUCUGCCAUGUUUCUGUGGUAGGUGUGGGCAGAUCGAUCCCAAAAUAUUGAUACUACAGAUACUAUGUUUCGUUUUUGAAGAUCAAUUGAUACAAGUUUCAGUUUCUCUCUUCUGCAUUGUACACAUUUAAUCAGAGUCGAACUGCCUGGGCAAACAACGUUCUGUCGUGGUGUCGUGUGUGCACUCAAACAACGAACAUACCCAGCGUGCACACCAUCAGCACCAAUCCGACGCAUGAAUGCAGUGGUGGCUGAAUGAAAGAGGAGCAUUGUGUGGAGAUUGAAGAGCAGCUGGAGUUUCGUGCAAAUUUCAUCACUUCACAUGACUCCUGGAUACGAAAGCUGUCAGAAUCGCAUCAGUUACUCCACCUGUUGCAACCGACUGCCGGGCUGCCGCACGUAAGAAGUGUACAGUGCGGCAUUAAAGAAAAAAACUCUCAUCUGAUCCUCUGCUGCUGUCAGAACUCUCUGAUGUUUCAUACAUUCCACCAUCUCUCUUUCUUUUUUUUUUGACAUCUGUAAUUUACUUUUGUGUUGAACACUCUUCACCUCAUCUACUGCAGUAUGUGCUUCCCUGUGAGGUUUGACAGAGUUACUUUUUGAACACAGAAUACUCUGGAGCUCCGUGUGUAGGUGGAGACAGUGAAGGCGUCGGGAGAGUUUUUCCAAGUGAAAACAGUUCUCUACUUAGUUACCAAACUGUCUUGAAGCUGCACUGCAUCCCGGACUGUGCUGCACCAGCUAAUUGUAAAUCCAUCACUUAGUUUGUGUGUUUAGUUCUCCUCAAGUUCUUAAGUCACUUGUAGCUAGUUUCAAACUAAUGAUUUACUAAAUCAGGUCGCACCAUUAAAGCUUAAGAAACAUCUUAUCUGGUUAACACUUCAGGAAAAUGUAAAUCGGUUGCCAGGAAACAUGCCAAUAAAAAGCAAGCAACAAAGUCAGCAGGAAAUGACUGCAGCAUCACAAACUCUAACAUAACUUCCAAAAAUAACAGUUUUAUUAGCCAAAAGAUAAAAUAAAUUCAACUGCCAAGCCUU